GAUGAAGAACGUAGCGAAAUGCGAUAAGUAAUGUGAAUUGCAGAAUUCAGUGAAUCAUCGAAUCUUUGAACGCACCUUGCACCCUUUGGACUGCCCCAAAGGGUAUGCUCGUUUGAGUGUCAUUGUACUCUCACACUCUCUGAUCCUUUGGAUUUGGGGAGCAGUGGACUUGGGUGCUUGCUGCUUCCUUGUGGCUCACCUGAAAUGCAUCAGUGCAUCUCUCGAUUGGACAUAGUACGGCGUGAUAAGUGUCUUCGCCGGCACCUCAUAUGAGGGUGGCCGAUCGGGAGCUCUGUGCUUUCAAACCGUCUUCGGACAACGCUGACAACUUGACCUCAAAUCGAGUAGGACUACCCGCUGAACUUAAGCAUAUCAAUAAGCGGAGGA
rnacentral:misc_RNA from 1 species